CAGCAUCACCUGGCUGCCCCACUACUACUCUCUGCCCACAUUGCCCACAGCUCUGACCAGCUGCCCAAUUUCAGCUCAGCCUUGCUACUUCAGAUCCUUCCUGAGCUAGUUUGUAGGGGAACUUUUCUCCAGCCUUGCCUUCUGGAUGGACCCUGUCCCUGUGCUGUGGGUAGCUUGUAUCCUGGCUCAGAUAUAUUUUGUAGCUUGUCUCAGGCUCUGUCUCUUGCCCUGACUCUUGUUGCCUCUGGUGGGAUUCCCUGAACACAUCCUGGACCUGGUGCAUUGCUUGCCAUGUAGGAAACUGUUUUGGACCAUCCCUCAACUCUGUACACUGUGCCAUGAUUCCUACAGUUUAGGAAAGAGUUACUUUUGAACUUCUUUUGAAGAUGGACCCUGUGGCACUCAAUGAAUUCACUGAAAUUACUCCGGGAAAACUCAGAUACCUUAGACAGUAUCAUCUCUUGCCUCUUUUCUACAUAUCUCAUUCAAGAUCUGUGUGUCUUAUUUGCAGAAGUGUUGGAAGCUGUUUACUAACAGCUCCAUUGCAUCUUUCACAGCUGUCUCCGUGGAAACCACACUCUUAAUUGCAGAUUUUAAGGUUAAGUUGCUUCUGUUAAAAGCUGCAUCUGUGAGUGCUCAUUACUGUGCUGAGUGGGUAAAGAAUCUCUCUUUGGUUAACACUGUAGUCAUCACCAACCUGGCAGUAUUCAACUAGUCACCUUAGCUUUACUAUUCUGGCUACAAUAUAUAUUUAUUUUUUGAAUGAAAUUAAUUGGGAAAACAUUAACAAGAUGUUACAAAGAUUGCAGCUAUGGGAAAAAGAAACAUCUUCCUCACAAAAAAAAAAAAAAGUACAAUAAGUUUGUGUUUUAAUUUUUAGAGAAGGACUGAAUAUUUCUUUCUAAUUCCUGCUAUCAUUUAAUUUUAACUCUUUGUGUGUGGGCAAACUAAUUUACCUUUGCCAAAACUCAAAUGUGUUUUAGGCAAGGACCACUACUAAAAUGUAGUAUAUUUUGGUGAUAUUGUGCAAUUCUGGGGUUAUAUCCACAGAUUUGGACAAUGAGAAAAGCAGUUUAGUGGGCUGAAAUGCAUCACAGCUCUCAAUUUUUCUCAG
rnacentral:lncRNA from 1 species